GCCACGCAGCUUGAUGACGUAUAUUAGUCUUAUCACCAUGGCAACGGCUUCACUGUACAAAGGGCUAUAAAAGAAACAAAAGCAAGGAGUUUGUAUUCACCGAGCUGUUUGUUUGGCCCUAAUGGUUGUCUGCGAGUUCCUUAUUAAUUGCGUCAUAUAAGUCCUCCAGCUCUAGUUACAAUACGUUAGACUUAUUCAUCGGUAUUUGGACUCAAUUUGUCGGCAGCAUUUAAUAUGAUGUGUAUUCUCGUUCUAAAAGCGCAAAUGAACUCACUGCUGCCCUCCAGCGGUGAAAAUCGGAGUCCACGCAGAU